CCUACGCGAGGCAGCAGUGGGGAAUAUUGGGCAAUGGACGCACGUCUGACCCAGCAACGCCGCGUGAAGGAAGAAGGCUUUCGGGUUGUAAACUUCUUUUAAGGGGGAAGAGCAGAAGACGGUACCCCUUGAAUAAGCCACGGCGAACUACGUGCCAGCAGCCACGGUAAUACGUAGGUGGCAAGCGUUGUACGGAUUUACUGGGUGGAAAGGGCGUGCAGCCGGAGAGACAAGUCAGAUGUGAAAUCCACGGGCUCAACCCGUGAACUGCAUUUGAAACUGUUUCCCUUGAGUGUCGGAGAGGUAGUCGGAAUUACUGGUGUAGCGGUGAAAUGCGCAGAUAUUAGGAAGAACACCAGUGGCGAAGGCGGAUUACUGGACGAUAACUGACGGUGAGGCGCGAAAGCGUGGGGAGCAAACAGGAUUAGAUACCCGGGUAGUC
rnacentral:rRNA from 1 species